GCAGGCUGCAACUCGCCUGCAUGAAGCCGGAAUCGCUAGUAAUCGCGGGUCAGCAUACCGCGGUGAAUGUGUUCCUGAGCCUUGUACACACCGCCCGUCAAGCCACGAAAGUGGGGGGCAUCCGAAGUCGCUGAGCUAACCCGCAAGGGAGGCAGGCGCCGAAGAUGAACUCCGUGAUUGGGACUAAGUCGUAACAAGGUAGCCGUAGGGGAACCUGCGGCUGGAUCACCUCCUUUCUAA
rnacentral:rRNA from 1 species